rnacentral:rRNA from 1 species
CCUACGGGCGGCAGCAGUGGGGAAUAUUGCACAAUGGGGGAAACCCUGAUGCAGCAACGCCGCGUGAGUGAAGAAGUAUUUCGGUAUGUAAAGCUCUAUCAGCAGGGAAGAAAAUGCCGGUACCUGGGUAAGAAGCCCCGGCUAACUACGUGCCAGCAGCCGCGGUAAUACGUAGGGGGCAAGCGUUAUCCGGAUUUACUGGGUGUAAAGGGAGCGUAGACGGCGAUACAAGUCUGAAGUGAAAGCCCGGGGCUCAACCCCGGGACUGCUUUGGAAACUGUGUUGCUGGAGUGCAGGAGAGGUAAGCGGAAUUUCUAGUGUAGCGGUGAAAUGCGUAGAGAUUAGGAAGAACACCAGUGGCGAAGGCGGCUUGCUGGACAGUAACUGACGUUGAGGCUCGAAAGCGUGGGGAGCAAACAGGAUUAGAUACCCGAGUAGUC